rnacentral:rRNA from 1 species
CCUACGGGUGGCAGCAGUGGGGAAUAUUGCACAAUGGGGGAAACCCUGAUGCAGCGACGCAGCGUGAGGGAUGAAGUAUUUCGGUAUGUAAAGCUCUAUCAGCAGGGAAGAAAAUGACGGUACCUGACUAAGAAGCCAUGGCUAACUACGUGCCAGCAGCCGCGGGAAUACGCAGGGGGCAAGCGUUAUCCGGAUGUACUGGGUGUAAAGGGAGCGUAGACGGCUUGGCAGGCCAGAUGUGAAAGGCUGGGGUUCAACCCCAGGACUGCAUUUGGAACUGUCAUGCUAGAGUGUCGGAGAGGCAGGCGGAAGUCCUGGUGUAGCGGUGAAAUGCGUAGAUAUUAGGAGGAACACCAGUGGCGAAGGCGGCCUGCUGGACGAUGACUGACGUUGAGGCUCGAAAGCGUGGGGAGCAAACAGGAUUAGAUACCCCAGUAGUC